rnacentral:rRNA from 1 species
UACGAAGGGGGCUAGCGUUGCUCGGAAGCACUGGGCGUAAAGCGCACGUAGGCGGAUUGUUAAGUCAGGGGUGAAAUCCUGGAGCUCAACUCCAGAACUGCCUUUGAUACUGGCGAUCUCGAGUCCGGGAGAGGUGAGUGGAACUGCGAGUGUAGAGGUGAAAUUCGUAGAUAUUCGCAAGAACACCAGUGGCGAAGGCGGCUCACUGGCCCGGUACUGACGCUGAGGUGCGAAAGCGUGGGGAGCAAACAGG